rnacentral:rRNA from 1 species
GAUGAACGCUGGCGGCGUGCCUAAUACAUGCAAGUAGAACGCUGAAGCUUGGUGCUUGCACCGAGCGGAUGAGUUGCGAACGGGUGAGUAACGCGUAGGUAACCCGCCUCUUAGCGGGGGAUAACUAUUGGAAACGAUAGCUAAUACCGCAUAAAAGUCGACAUUGCGUGAUGUUGACUUGAAAGGUGCAAUUGCAUCACUAAGAGAUGGACCUGCGUUGUAUUAGCUAGUUGGUGAGGUAACGGCUCACCAAGGCAACGAUACAUAGCCGACCUGAGAGGGUGAUCGGCCACACUGGGACUGAGACGCGGCCCAGACUCCUACGGGAGGCAGCAGUAGGGAAUCUUCGGCAAUGGGGGCAACCCUGACCGAGCAACGCCGCGUGAGUGAAGAAGGUUUUCGGAUCGUAAAGCUCUGUUGUAAGAGAAGAACGAGUGUGAGAGUGGAAAGUUCACACUGUGACGGUAACUACCA